GUAGGUGAACCUGCGGAAGGAUCAUUAACACGUAUCCACGUUAAUCCACCCGUGCACUUUCACAAUCUCUUUUUUCUGACGGAUGGUCGUGCCGUCUUUUUCUGGUGUGGUGUUGGCUUGCCUUCACUGCUCUGGAUCAAGGGGGGGUUCGCACGCGAGUGCGCACACUUUAAGGUAACCACGCGUCAGAAAGAAGAGGCCGUUGGCUUUGGUGGCUGUUCUGCUUCGAGGGAUCUGCCUUUCUCUCCGG
rnacentral:misc_RNA from 1 species